GCCGAGGUGGUGGAACUGGUAGACACGCUAUCUUGAGGGGGUAGUGCGCUAGUCGUGUGCGGGUUCGAGUCCCGCCCUCGGCACCA
rnacentral:tRNA from 1 species